GGGGGAUAUAUGUAUCUGCUCGUAUCUAGCAAAAUACAUGUGUGCAGGCGCGUGCUGGAAUUAAAUGUGCCGUGAAAUAAAUCCAAGGGAACACGACACAGCCAGAGAAAUUCACUGCCAAAUGUCCUUCACAGCGGAUGAAUCCAUGUCUGUCUGUGUCUGUCUCUCUGUGUGUGUCAUUAAUAGAAACAAAAAGUGAAUUGAAUCCGAAACAAAACGAAAUUGAGUCGGACGGGGGAGUUUGCUAACAAGCGAAAGACGACCUCAACCUCGCUUUCUCCUCUCCUAAGGGAAGGCCAAAAGAUGUGGUUGGUACAAGGAAAACAACAAUUAUGGCAGAGUGAACCGACGGACGGAGCCCCGAAAAUAACAGCUCUUUAAUGGGGAUUAAAUUUAUAGAAAUAAUUCGACAAGCCAGCUGAAGGCUGGUGCUGAAAUUUAAUACCUUGUAAUGACCCAGAAAUAAUAAUCUUUGGGCCAACAAUAUUGAUAUGCCCUGGGGGUGGGGUGGACAUGGCUGGACAUAUAAAGGUUAAGUAAGAGAAGCCCUCGAUGUAGUCGCAGGAGUGGUCAAGUAUUUUGAGCUCAAUCAGACUGAAAGGCAAAGAGAGACAAAAUCUAAUAUAAAUAGUGCUUAUAGUGCAGCUGAUGGUCAGCAAUCGUUCAUUUCACGGUUCAAUAGAAAUAAUCAAAGCAUUACAGUUUAUCUACUGUCAACUGAAAAUUAUACUUUCAGGCAUACAAUAACUAACUCAACAACCAACAAUCUGCUGACUAAUCUGAAGGAGAGGGAUGUUCAUUAAUUGAAUUGGGGAGGAAUAACAACAAAGUCAGCGAUAAGUUGUGUAGACAACCACGGAGAACUCAUGGCCACUCAGACCCAUUCGAACAAUUAACCACUCAAGCCAAAGUCGGAGGUGGAGUCGAAGUCCUAGGUCCUAAACAAACCACAUUUCUACGAGCAGCUGUGGAAACCCUGGCAAUUAAAUGGUCUGGAGAUUCAAGGGUAACACAAGACGAUAAUUGGCAUCGAAAAUUAAAGUGAAGGGGCCAGCGAGGAGUAUAAUCAUCAGUAAAAUUAUGAAUAUAUUUUAUUUUAUAGAUCCUACACAGUAAGCCGGAUCUCCAAUAUUCAAAUAAUGGGAAAUAUAAAUAAUAAACCGACGUAUGCUUUUAGGCUUGACAGUAUACAUACAUUCAGGCGGAGCUGAGAAUACCUGAGAACGUACUUGAUAUCCUUCAUAAGGAAUCCAUUUACUCGAAGGGUUUUUACCUAUCACUGCGCUGUUGGGAAAUGUUCCACUUUUUGUUUGCAAAAAUUAUACACAUUAUAAUUAUACAUUUUUUUAUAUUAGAUGGAGGGAAAAUAUUAUGUUAAACAAAAAAUUACGGGAAUAUCUUAUACAAUGUUAUAUUUU